UUGACCUCGGAUCAGGUAGGACUACCCGCUGAACUUAAGCAUAUCAAUAAGCGGAGGAAAAGAAACCAACAGGGAUUGCCCCAGUAACGGCGAGUGAAGCGGCAACAGCUCAGAUUUGGAAUCUGGCCCCCAGGGCCCGAGUUGUAAUCUGGAGAGGAUGCUUCUGGCGCGGCGCCUUCCGAGUUCCCUGGAACGGGACGCCGGAGAGGGUGAGAGCCCCGUACGGUCGGACGCCCAGCCUUUGUGAAGCUCCUUCGACGAGUCGAGUAGUUUGGGAAUCCUGCUCAAAAUGGGAGGUAAAUUUCUUCUAAAGCUAAAUAUUGGCCAGAGACCGAUAGCGCACAAGUAGAGUGAUCGAAAGAUGAAAAGCACUUUGAAAAGAGGGUUAAACAGUACGUGAAAUUGUUGAAAGGGAAG
rnacentral:rRNA from 1 species